CUACGGGAGGCAGCAGUCGGGAAUUUUGCGCAAUGGACGAAAGUCUGACGCAGCAACGCCGCGUGAGGGAUGACGGCCUUCGGGUUGUAAACCUCUUUUGUCAGGGACGAUGAUGACGGUACCUGACGAAUAAGCCACGGCUAACUACGUGCCAGCAGCCGCGGUAAUACGUAGGUGGCAAGCGUUGUCCGGAUUUACUGGGCGUAAAGAGCGCGCAGGCGGUCGUUCAAGUCGCGUGUGAAAGCCCCCGGCUCAACUGGGGAGGGUCACGCGAUACUGAUCGACUCGAAGGCAGGAGAGGGUAGUGGAAUUCCCGGUGUAGUGGUGAAAUGCGUAGAUAUCGGGAGGAACACCAGUGGCGAAGGCGACUACCUGGCCUGUUCUUGACGCUGAGGCGCGAAAGCUAGGGGAGCAAACGGGAUUAGAUACCCGCGUAGUCCG
rnacentral:rRNA from 1 species